rnacentral:rRNA from 1 species
UACGUAGGGAGCAAGCGUUGUCCGGAAUCAUUGGGCGUAAAGCGCGCGUAGGCGGCCCUGUAAGUCCGUUGUGAAAGUCAAAGGCUCAACCUUUGAAAGCCGAUGGAUACUGCAGGGCUAGAGUCCGGAAGAGGCGAGUGGAAUUCCUGGUGUAGCGGUGGAAUGCGCAGAUAUCAGGAGGAACACCAAUAGCGAAGGCAGAUCUCUGGGCCGUAACUGACGCUGAGGAGCGAAAGCAUGGGGAGCGAACAGG